rnacentral:rRNA from 1 species
AGAACGAACGCUGGCGGCAGGCCUAACACAUGCAAGUCGAACGCACCGCAAGGUGAGUGGCAGACGGGUGAGUAACGCGUGGGAACGUGCCCUUUGGUACGGAAUAGCUCGGGGAAACCUGAGGUAAUACCGUAUGUGCCCUUCGGGGGAAAGAUUUAUCGCCAAAGGAUCGGCCCGCGUCGGAUUAGCUAGUUGGUGAGGUAACGGCUCACCAAGGCUACGAUCCGUAGCUGGUCUGAGAGGAUGAUCAGCCACACUGGGACUGAGACACGGCCCAGACUCCUACGGGAGGCAGCAGUGGGGAAUAUUGGACAAUGGGCGCAAGCCUGAUCCAGCCAUGCCGCGUGAGUGAUGAAGGCCUUAGGGUUGUAAAGCUCUUUCAGCGGGGAAGAUAAUGACAUUACCCGCAGAAGAAGCCCCGGCUAACUUCGUGCCAGCAGCCGC